GACGAACGCUGGCGGCGUGCUUAACACAUGCAAGUCGAACGGAGAGGCCCUGCUUUUGUUGGGUGCUCGUGUGGCGAACGGGUGAGUAACACGUGAGUAACCUGCCCUUGACUUUGGGAUAACUUCAGGAAACUGGGGCUAAUACCGGAUAGGAGCUCUUGCUGCAUGGUGGGGGAUGGAAAGUUUCGGCGGUUGGGGAUAGACUCGCGGCUUAUCAGCUUGUUGGUGGGGUAGUGGCUUACCAGGUCUUUGACGGAUAGCCGACAUGGGAGGGUGACCGGGGACAAUGGGCCUGCGGGAGGGCCCAGACGCCUACGGGAGGCAGUGGGGGGGAACAUUACACAGUAGGGGGAAGCGUGUUGCGACAGCGCUGCGUGCGGGAUACCGGCUUACGAGUUGAGAACAGAUGUGGCCUGAGACGAGGCGUGAGUGACGGUAAUGAGUAAAGAAGCACCGGCUAACUACGUG
rnacentral:rRNA from 1 species